GAGAAACAAAGUGAAACAAAAUGAUGAAGACUCAAGACUGAUCUUGGAGACUAUGAAACACAUAACAAUGCUCAGCAAAUCAAUACUUGAAUCUCAGCAGCAAACACAUGAGAUGGAAGAGAAACUGAAUGACAUUAGAAGGAAAAGACUCAUACUAAAAGAAGCUGGAAAAAACAAGCUAC